rnacentral:lncRNA from 10 species
CGCACAGUCUGUGCCCCAGCAGGAUUUAUUCAGUGAGCAAGUCUGGAAAGGGCUGCUCCAGAAGGAGGGUGAAGGCUGGGCUGCACAGAGCCUGCACCUUCUUUGUAUUUUUACAUUGGGCUUCUCUGACUGCCCCUAAAAUAAAAAUGGGGAUAAUCCAUUUUCCUGUGAGAGAAAUGAAAACCCACGAAGACUAAAUGUCCUGCCCGCUGUCCAGGUGCAGUGAGGGGCGUGGCCGGGACCAGAAUCCCUGCUUCCCUGUUCUCUAGUCAGUGCUGCUGCUGGAAACCAGAGUCUUCUUUUGUUUUCCCUCUCACCUCUGGCUGCCUCUCUCUCCCCUCAAAGGUCAGAGCAGUGCCAAGGACAGAAGAGAGAGUAGAUCCAGCCUUGGCCCUGCUAGGCUGGGCAGCCUGGCAGGUAGAGUCAGCAGGGAUAGAGCUUGCUUUCCUGUUCACGAUCUUCAGCCAAGUUCAGGGAGGUCUGAAUACUGAGGCCUUCAUAGCCACUGCACCCCAGGUAGCUCAGGAGAACCUCCGAGCGCAGGAGUGCAAAGGCUGGCAUUCUUCAGGCUCUGAGGCUGUCCCUUCCGGUGGAGGUGAACUGCUUCUUAUUGAUGUGGACAAGACUGUGGAUGGAGACUGACAGGAUCCUGGCUUGGGGGCCUUCCGGCAGGGCUGGCUGCUGGGCUGGCAGGCUCUGGCGCUCCCCUUCCCCAGAACUGACUUUGUUCCUGGCAGCCAUGGUGGCUGCACUAACCACAUUCUGCCUCCACCUUUGCACUAAGAAAAGCAAAUAAGCAGACCACAGAACUGUUUGCAUUUGCCCCAGAUGCUCCCUGGCUGCGGGAAGAGACACAGCAAACAGCAGUGCUGCGGAGGUAUGUCUAAUUGCAGAUACUUUUUGUUCAUCAUCGUAUUGAACGUCGUUGCGUGUUCCAGCAGCCAUCAACUUCCUCAGGAGGAAAAUUCAAUUGUGCACUGAGCGACAGCGUGAAGAGACCGGGCCAAGCAGGCAGGGUGCUGCAGGUCAACAAGGUGCUGCUGUGCUCCUGAAGCCUUCAGGAGCCUCAGCCUGAGAGCUCAGGAAAGGGUGGGGCUCCAACCCACCUGGCUUUCCGCCUUACUGAGCUCCAAACACAGGCUUGUUCCACAUCACGGAGAGCCCUUAUCCUGCAUGUGCGUCUCGCUCCCUGACAAGCCUAUUUGUGCCUUGUCACCAGAAAUGUACCUUUUUUCUUCUCUCAUCUGUCCCUGACACCCCCAGCUUAUCUAGCCUGAAGAGAGGCUAUCAAAAUGGUAAUAGCCAGAUGGAAAACAAGGAAAAAUAAGCCCUUUCCCAUAAGGAAGCAAUACGGAUUUUGGAACCGGAGAAAUUUCUACUAUUCUCCCAACAUCAUUCCCUCCGCCUUGGGUGUGCUUCCGAGAGGGUUGGAGGUGUCACCUGCCGUACCCUAGGACUGGCUGAGGGAAAACACACCUGAAGAUUUCCUGUAAAUGAAAAAGUGAAUCACUAAAAGGGGGAGCUGUCAUCCCCUGGCAUUUCUCUGUGCACAGGCGACCUAGUGUUGGGAUGGCAGCAGAACCCAGACAACUGAGCCAACACGUGGAGGGAAGCCCUCACUAGCCUGCAUUCGACUUGUGUGAGAGAGAAGUGAACGUUUACGUGCAAAGCCACUGAGCUUUUGUUGUUGUUCCUGCAGCACAGGGCAUUCUAACCUGCCUAAUACUGAAACGAGUACUGUUAGGCUUGAUCUGUGAAGAGGAGAACAUAAAAGGCCUGCAUAUUCUCUUUUAGGUCCUAAAAAUGCAGUGCUCUCUUCUUGGCCUUGCUGUGACCAGGCUGUUUAAAAUCUGUCACCCCGCCAGUCGCCACUGUAUUAUCUUGCUUUAUUUUUCUUCAUAGUAUUUAUUGAUAAUUUAUGUGCUUAUUAUGUCUCCCUGACUGGAAUGUAAGUUUCAUGAAGGCCAGGACUUGUGCCUUAAAACAGGGCCUGGCACAGAGUAGGCACUUAAUGUGUAUUUUUGAAAGUGAAUUGUGGGCUGAAAAUUCUGAUUUUUCAAAAAAGUUAAUAAAGGUGAAGGCCUUCCUUGCCUUUAUUAAAUGCUUAAAAUGGAUCAGUGGUGGGGUAGAGAUGGAAGGAGUCACACACAUACUGUACCUUCAACGGGUUUCAAUCUAACUGGGAGACAAAAUAUAGAAACAUGAAACAAGCAGAGAGCAAAUCUCUAGGUACCUAAGAGUUAAUUAAGUACUAAGGGUGUACUUAAAUUUGUGAGGGAGGAAGGGGAAGAGGACUGUCCAGAGGUAUGGCUAACUACCAAAAACUCUCUGGAGCAGACAGCUUUGGCAGCAGACUGAGAGCAGGGUUCUCCAAUUUGAGCUUGCAGAAGAAUCACCUGGAAGGCUUCUAAAACCUAUACUAUUGGCCCCACCCCCAGAGUUUCUGAUUCACUAGAUCUGGAUUAUACCUGGGGAUCUUUUUUUUUUUAGACAGAGUCUUGCUCUGUUACCCAGGCUGGAGUGCAGUGGCACUAUCAUAGCUCACUGCAACCUCGAACUCCCCGGUUCAAGGGAUCCUCCCACCUCAGCCUCCCCAGUAACUGGGAUUUCAGGCAUGUGCCACCAAGCCCGGCUAAUUUUUUUUUUUUUUUUUUUGAGAUGGAGUUUCAUUCUUGUUGCCCAGGCUGGAGUGCAAUGGUGCAAUCUCAGCUCACUGCAAUCUCUGCCUCCUGGGUUCAAGUGAUUCUCCAGCCUUGCCUCCUGAGUAGCUAGGAUUACAGGCAUGUGCCACCACGCCCAGCUAAUUUUGUAUUUUUAGUAGAGAUGGGGUCUCACCGUGUUGGCCAGGCUGGUCUUGCACUCCUGACCUCAGGUGAUCCACCCACCUCAGCCUCCCAAAGUGCUGGGAUUACAGGUGCCCACUGCCGUGCCCAGCUUAAUUUCAGUAUUUUUAGUAGAGAUAGGGUUUCUCUAUGUUGGCCAGGCUAGUCUCAAACUCCUGACCUCAGGCGAUCCACCCACCUUGGCCUCCCAAAGUGCUGGGAUUACAGGCCUGAGCCACCACACCUGGCCUCACCUGUAUUUUAAAUUGAGUUUUACUGGGUAACAGCCAUGGUCAUUCAUUUACAUAUUGUCAAAGGCUGCUUUCAAGCUACAACAGCAGAAUUUAACAGUCUCAAGACCAUAUGGCCUGCAAAGCCUAAAAUAUUUACUGGCCCUUUACAGAUAAAGUUUGCUGACCCCUAGAGAGGAAGUCAUGGCCCAUGGCUGGCAGAUGGAAGCCUCAGGACCUGAAGAUUUCUCAAAGAAAGGGACCUGCUGCUGACAGCAAUUAAUAUAUGUUCACAGCUUGCAGCUGAAGCCUGAUGAUGGCUGUAGGAGAAAGGACAUCACCCAGAUGACAUUUUGCCUCCAAAGCUCUGGGGACCAAUUGUGGAAGAACUGCAGGGAUAUUAUGUUAGAAUGUUCUUGUGUCUGGAUAGGAUGAGAACUGUCUUAUAACAAAGUGCAGCCCCCAUGUCUGAGGGCAUGUUUCCUGUGUUUAGGCACUUCCGAAGCAGGGAGCACCUUCAAGGGGCACUGGCCUUCCCAGAAACAGUGUUUGACCUGUGAUGAUGUCCUGGGGGAGGGGACCUAGGAAAAGACCUUAGCCUUUCCAUAAGGCACGAUUAUUCUCCUCUAUAGAGCCUCAAAAGUCAAGUCAAGUAGCAAGCACACUGUGCUCCAGUCUGUGGCCACAGACACACACAAGGACUGGAGCAAAACCAAACAUAGUGUAUCAUCACCGCUGAACCCCCAGGAGCCCCCAGAUGCUUUUGAACGUGAAAGGAGAAAGAAGCUGUCAGAGAUCAGGUUGAAUGUGGUGGGUUAGGUGUGCGGCAUUGCCUCUGGGUCCCUGCUUUGGUUUAAUUAAACUAAGUCUGGUGGUGAAUUGGUUCCCAAAUGUUCAUUGGUGGAUGGGCGGCAUCAGAAUUGUCUACAUCUUUUAAAAAACACGUACGCAAAACCUAUGCAUGUCUUCCUCUGAGAGUUUGAUUUUCAGCAGGCUUGGGGUGGAUUCCUACUUUUAAGAACUCCCCACGCCCGUCCUAAGUGAUUGUGAUUCCCAGUAAGUGAAUGCUGACAAAUUGAACCUUCCAGCAUGGACAUUUAUUUAUGAAAUAAAUGGACAUUAAUUUCACAGUCUUUCUAUGGAUUCGAGGUGGUGCUGGAUCCACAGGCUCACCUGGCCCCCUAGCUUUCUCUGCAGAAUCUGCCAGUGUGCCUUCAAUCCCAAAAGAAGUCGCUUUUCAUGUGCUGCUGGAGCUUUUGAUUGGCGGUGACUGAGAUGGGACUUUAAGUUCUCACCAGGAUGCAAAGUGGGGUUCCAACUUUACUGCUUUCUGAACCCUGCUGAUCUGUCCCCAACCAAGGCUUGAUUUUCUUCUGAAGCGCAGUAUUUUUAAACUGUGGUUGAAAUCUAUUCAUGGGCUAUAAAAUCAGUUGUUGAGGAUGUAACCAUUUUGAAUUAAUUUUUAAUUCAAAAAAUUAGACUAGAAAUUUUUAAUUUUAAUUCAAAAAAUAGACUAGAAAAAAAUCAGAGUGCAUCAUGUAUGGUAGGGAUAAGUGUAAUUCUUUCUGUAAAACUUGUUUUGGAGGGUAUGUUGUGCAUUGGGCUUCUGUGUAUUUCUUACUACGUUUCACAGGGAAACUGCUGUCAUCUCUGCAGUACAAUAUAGAUCAACAAUGGCCCUAACUUCCCUAAGACAGCUCUCAUGUCUGCUUGCAGAGAACAGAUGGAAAAAGUCACCAGGGAGGGUAGAUUGCCAUAUACAAGUACUUCAGGGAGGCUACCUGGAAACUAAUAGAAAACCAGUUUAUGGAUGAUUGCAGAGCCUGGGGAGAGAAAUCAAUCUUGGACAGUUUUAUGGAUGGCAGCGUGGGCUCCCGGGCCCCAAGCAGGAUCCCUUAGGGCUGAUCUCUUACCACACACUGGUCUGACUUGGUGACCUGGAAGAGGACAGUCAGAGCCAACAGGAUGAGGGGACCAGCUUGGAGAGCAUCUAUUGUAUGCCACCCUUGAGUGGCUGGAAAUGUCUUCUGCCACUUUGCAAGGGGCUGGGGGCUGGGGAGUGGGAGUGGCAAGGGAACACGGGGUGGUAGAUUGUUCCCAGGGCUGCUGGUUUUGGAGCAGUCUGACUACCCUCUCUUCUUAGUGGGAAAGAAAGGAGGAAGAAGGGGGAAGGGAUGCUUUUGGAGGGGAGCUCUAAGGGUGGGAGAAAAGAAAGCCUGAAAGAACAUCACUAAAGGGUCUGAAGUUAAAGACUCCAAUGAACAAGAAGCCCCUAAUUCAAACAGUGCCACUAACACCAAAACCUGUAAAGUGGUCCAGAGAGACCCUGGUCAUGUCUGUAACUUUCCUUUUUAAAGCUCUCGUGAAGUUAAUGAAUGAAAAAAUUGCUAAUGCAAAGAUGGAAAUUAAUAAAAACAAAAGCGUGCUUCAUAUUGCAGGGUGACCACCUCUAAUCCUACCAGUGAUCCUGUGGCUGUCCCUGUAACUUCCUUUGGCAACACCAUGCUUUGAGAAGCUGUGGGGAAGGCUGGCCAGGGAGAGAGCCUCACCCCCCAAUUCUGCCAGCUGAUCCCCCAGAGGGCUGCAAGGCUCCUGAUUUACCCAGACCUCUGGAGUGGCUGAGGCUGGGCUCUGGGGUUGGAUGGUUCUCACCAAGAGGCCUGGGACAUCUGCUCUGUGCUAAGCUCCGAGGCAGACCACAGAGGAGAUAAUGACUAAUCGGACCUUCACAUACAUUGUACAUGCCUUUUCUGAACUGAAAAAGAGAAGAACAAACAAGAUAAAAAUAUUGAAAAAAAAGAAGAAUCAAAUGUGUAGAAAAUGCAAGGUCAUUAGAACUGCCCAGGGCUUCAUUCAGGCAAAGAUCUUGAGGGUCUGGCCAGGGACCUGCUGAGUAAAUCUAGCUCUGGUUCCCCUCCCACAGAUUCCCUGCGCCUCCUCCAACUGCAUAACCAAAUCUCCCCACCUCCCAACUUUCCUUGAGCUAUUCUGCUGUUUUCUUCACUUUAGUUUUCUCACUGUAACCC